CUAGUUUGCUGCUAGCAGCUGAGGAGGUAACAUCUGGCUGAGCUUCUGCUGGGAGCAUCCUGGAGAAAGUAGCUGCUUGACUAUUUUGUAAUGCUUCCAGCUUGACACAAGUGAAUGAACUUUGUAUGCCCGGGGCAUGAGAGAGGUAUGGGCAAGAGGUGAGUGAAGAACGAAUGGGAGUUUUGGCAUGAGAAAAAGGAGAGAGGAUGUAACUGUUUAUGUAAGCAACAAGGCGCCAGGUGUGUAAAUUACCAGCCAGUAACUAACUAACAAACAGUUGAAGAAUCCCUUUGAAGCUCGAGGGCACAAAGGAGAUCACAAAAGAAGAAAUGCUGCCAUGUGGGCAACAAGAACACUUCAAGACUGAGACCCAUUUUUACAACUAAAGUGACCCCAAUUUAAGAUGAGAGGAAGAUGGAUGUGAAACAGCUGCUAAAACACAGACUAAGCAUGGAAAAACCUCAAGAAGCAAAACAAGGACUGGCAAACCUUAUAAAAACAGGACCCAAAUGAUGCUAAGCAGGUGAAAUCUUCUGUCUUCCUUUCUGGAGCAGAUGCAUCUGCUUUUCAUCUUGCUCCAGCUACUGUCUUUCACCACAAUCAUCAGCUUCAGCUACUUGGUGAACACAGGGUUGGCCACCCUGUGUUAGCAUGGAGCAACUAUUGCUGGAUGAAUGCCUGACUUGGGAUUUUCCUCUGAACAUGAGAAACCUGGGUGCUUUAGAGCCACAUCUUGGCUGCUGAUGAGCAGAAGCAUGAAAAUCAUUUAGCUCCUUCACAGCCUUUUCUGCACUGGAAGUGCUGAAGAGAAUUGUCCUAUUAACCUUUCCUCUACCCAGUCUCAACAUGACAAUCCAAUUGACAGAUUAGGCCAAAGUUUCCAAAAGUAGCCAGGUAACUUAGGUCCUAAGUGUCCAAUCUUCUUUGAAAAGAGCAUUUGGGUACUUCUGAGCAUGUUAAUUAACCUGACUACAAUAUCCUUCUAGAAGGUCACUUCCAUUUUCUAGCUUUAAGAAAUACAUAUAUUUCUUGCUUUGAGUACUCUUCCAGACUUGUCAUGUUUUUCAGGCAGUGUCCCAGAUUUGGAAUCCAAUUCCUUCAGGUCCACUCCACUGAGAAGUCAUUUAAAUGUUUUUAUAGAUUUCAAUCCACAUGCUCCUUCUUUUUAUAACUCUCUAUUCAUUCAAGCUGUCAGAAGUAAAAACCAAUACAAUGAUAACAAAUGGAGGACAAUUGUGGUUCUGUUAUUCUAAACCUUUCCAGUACAGAAAAACUCUUAGGGACAAAUUAAGGCAAAAUCCUUAGGCUCUCUGAGUACUCUCAAGGACCCCAAAAAGGCAGCAUGUCAUUGCAAAACUUAUGGCCACAUCCACAGCUGGUAUAGAUGUGCAAUGCUCCAUGAAUUUCACUGGUCCUAUGCUGAUUUAGAUCAGCUACAGCUCAGACCUCCAAGAAUCUACGUAGGGCAGAGGGGAAAAACAAGUAUGUUAAAUGAAAAAGAAUAUGGGCUGAGGAAGUAUCGGAUAAUCGCAAGAGGGUCAAGAUCAAGUCGUACAGCCCCAUUUAGGUUUUUAUUCAGUUUAGAAGUACUCCAUAGAAGUCCAUGGAAAGUCUCAUACAGAGGAAAAAAUCUGUAUUGACCAAGGCAUGCAGGUGAUUAAAGAUAUGCACAAGGAUGGGUUAAGAAAGGCAAGCCACAUCUUUAUUAUCUUAAUGUACCAGGCAUUUGAAUGUGUCAAAUGUGAGGGUUCCAGUGCUUGAAUCUUCAUAACCCAUAAUUCAGGCUAGGCUUUUGUCAUGAACUCCCCAGAAAAGCUCUGGUCAGGGACCCCAACCCCCUGCCUUAACACAGCCACUCUUAGCACCUUUAAAUCCAGCCCAGGCACAGCAGCUUCUAGGCUAGAUGAGCUGCUGGCUCCUUGGGCUCUGAGGUUGGGCCUUUCGGUCUGUAUACAUUCUCACUACAUGGCCUCACAGUGAGCUAUGCUUUGGUUCAGCUUCUGGAGAAGUAUCUUACCUCUUUAAAAGGGAUGAAGUGCACCCAAGGACAUAUACAGCAAAGCUGAUAGUCCUUCUUGGAUAUAAACAUUGUUAACUGCAAUACAGCAGACAGAAUCUUUGUGUCAUAGCACCUAGGCCAAACUCAGCCUCUGCCCCUUUCCUUAUGUCUCUGGGAUCUUUUUCAAACCAGCUGGACCUUCUUGAGGCCUCCUCUGGGCACCAGAGAUAGCAAUGUGUCUUCAGGGCCUGAGCUUGAUGGUGCUCAGGUGUGUCUUCAUCUUACAAAUUAGUUCCCUAUGUUCUUGAAGACUCCUUCCCUAGUAGCUGACACACUUAGUAUGAAGCCCCACUUUCUCUCCCAGGUCUGAUUCAGGACAAGAAUUACAUUCUUUCUUAGGGCAUAACAGUGUACAAGAAAGUAAUGGAAAUGAAGGCAUGUAACAUUAUUGUAAAUAUACAUGCAUUGAACCCAGGCAUGUUACAAAAUAGCACCUAGCCCAUCACAAAUUUCCUUGGUCCGUGUGUAGAUUUCAGCAUCAAGCUGCGAGUCCCCCAUACAAAAGGGGGACUGCAGUUAUAAAGAAUUCAAGGUCCCCCCCCCCACUUCUUCCAUACACAGAUGGUCCACUCAUGUAACCCCAUGAUUCCUAUUUUCUUGGACCUUUUAUCUGUACUGGCCACAUGUUACAAGGAAUUAAAUAGUCCUAUUAACUACUGAAUAUUAAUUUAUAUGUCCUGUACUUAUUAACCUAACUGAUGAUGCUUUGAGGAAAGAGAAAAUAACCCACCAGGCCUCUGCCAAUUUGACAGAAAUGGGAAAUAUUAUUUCCUGGCCCAUCAAAUGGGCAAUAAGUCCAACUCACCUUUCCUAUACUAAACCUAAAGGGAUGGGGGUAGAGCUUGAAAUAGCCAAUGUUUUAAAUUAAUGAGGGGUCAGGGGCCAAUCAGUUUCCUUCUCCCCCUUCCUGCUAGCCAGUAGGACAAAGACAGAGGAGGGACCUAUUGUAUCUUCCUUUGCAUGCAUGCCCUAUCUCCAUCAUGUUCAUCGCCCACAAUUAAGCCUCACACCCAGUGACAUGGGUGGGUGAUACUUAUGCCCUUGCUUACAGAAGAGGGUGAAGGGCAGAUGCUCCUCAUAUUAGGAGGGAAUGGUUCUCACCCAGGGAAGGUGGGCAUCACAGGCUAUGCUGCUUAUCUUAGACAUACACAUUUUCUUCCUCUACCCUUUCAUUCUGCUGCACCCUCUGAAUAUUUUAUCUACAAUCUUGCAUAUUCAGCUUUUUCCUGUCACCAUUCAGCUCCACCCUGUCCUUAAUCCAUUACCCUUCUACUAAAAGACUCUUCAUUGGUAGUGGAUCCUGUUAAGGGAUGGUAUGCUUGUGUUGAAUGAACCAUUCCUGAUUUGAAUCACUCAUUACAGAAGGAGGUGGAGCAUUGUUUACUUGGUUUGUAUAUUGAACAACAUCACACACAUUAGAACGAGACCUCAGCUGUGUCUCUGUCCCUGAUUAGGUGCACGUUACUGAGGGGAAAAACAAAUUAAUGAACAAUGAUGCUAAUUUUGUAUUAAAUUUGAAAAGCCUUGAAAAAUGAAAAGCCUUGUAUUAGAUUUUAAAAUUGCUAUGCAUAUCUUCAGGGAAUUUUUAAAGCAAGGUCUCACACUAUUGUACAGCUAGAGUCUAUCAGUAAUACACC